CGGUAAUUCCAGCUCCAACAGUGUAUAUUAAUACUGCUGCGGUUGAAACGUUCGUAGUUGGGAAUUUGUUGUCUAUUAUUGGUCUAUCCUAGUGGUCAGUACUGUAUAUGAAUGCAGCAUUGUCUUGAUUAUUUUUCUACACUUGACUGUGUAUUAUGUUGAAUCAAUCCAUAUACUUUGAAGAAAUGAGAGUGUUUCAAGCAAUUUUAUUCAGGGAUAUAUUAGCAUGGAAUAACACAUUACGACUUCAAUUUGUGUCUAUUGGUUGCCGAGAUGGGGUAAUAAAGAGGAGGAUAAUUGGUGGCAUAUAUAUUGCACAGUCAGAAGUGAAAUUUUUGGAUUUUUGCAAGAUAACCAAUUGCGAAAGCAUUUGUCAAGAGUGUUUUUAUUGAUCAAGAACGAAAGUUAAGGGAUCGAAGGCGAUCAGAUACCGUUGUAGUCUUAACCGUAAACUAUGUCGCCUAGAAACUGGCGGGUAUAUAGUAUCAUCCCGUCAGCAACUUAAGAGAAAUUACAGUUUUUGGAUUCCGGGGGGAGUAUGAUCACAAGAUUGAAACUUAAAGGAAUUGACGGAAAGGCACCACCAGGAGUGGAGCGUGCGGUUUAAUUCGACUCAACACUGGAAAAUUUAUCAGGUCCGAACAUAGAAAUGAUUGACAGAUUGGCUGGCUUUUCUUAAUUCUGUGGGUGGUGGUGCAUGGCCGUUCUUAGUUGGUGGAGUGAUUUGUCUGGUUAAUUUCGAUAACGACCGAGAUCUUGACCUACUAAAUAGAUGCAGGAUGUAUAAACAAUCGUGUGAACUUCUUAGAGGAAACAUUUGUGUAAAGUAAAAGGAAGAUUAAGGUAAUAACAGGUCUGUGAUGCCCCUAGAUGUCUUGAGCUGCACGCGCGCUACACUGAAGCACUUCACAAGGAAUUUAUCUGAUUUGAAAAAAGUGGGAAAUCUUAUCCCUGUGCAUCGUGAUGGGGCUUGUUUAUUGUAAUUAUUGAAUAUUAACGAGGAAUCCCUAGUAAGUGUAUAUCAUCAAUCUGUUCUGAUUAAGUCCCUGCCCUUUGUACACACCACCCGUCGCUCCUACCGAUCGAGUGAUCCGGUGAACACCUAAGACAUUGAGAAGCAAUCGAAAAAUUACACUCAUAGAAAUGCGAGUGAGUCUUAUCACUUAGAGGAAGGAGAAGUCGUAACAAGGUAGCCG
rnacentral:rRNA from 1 species